rnacentral:rRNA from 1 species
GACGAACGCUGGCGGCGUGCUUAACACAUGCAAGUCGAACGGUAAGGCCCUUCGGGGUACACGAGUGGCGAACGGGUGAGUAACACGUGGGUGAUCUGCCCUGCACUUCGGGAUAAGCCUGGGAAACUGGGUCUAAUACCGGAUAGGACUCCGGACUGCAUGGUCGGGGGUGGAAAGCUUUUGCGGUGUGGGAUGGGCCCGCGGCCUAUCAGCUUGUUGGUGGGGUGAUGGCCUACCAAGGCGACGACGGGUAGCCGGCCUGAGAGGGUGACCGGCCACACUGGGACUGAGAUACGGCCCAGACUCCUACGGGAGGCAGCAGUGGGGAAUAUUGCACAAUGGGCGCAAGCCUGAUGCAGCGACGCCGCGUGAGGGAUGACGGCCUUCGGGUUGUAAACCUCUUUCAGCACCGACGAAGCGCAAGUGACGGUAGGUGCAGAAGAAGGACCGGCCAACUACGUGCCAGCAGCCGCCGUAACAC